rnacentral:rRNA from 1 species
AACGAACGCUGGCGGCAUGCCUAACACAUGCAAGUCGAACGGGAUCCUGACUUCGGUUGGGUGAGAGUGGCGGACGGGUGAGUAACGCGUGGGAACCUGCCCAGUGGUGGGGGAUAACUGCGGGAAACUGCAGCUAAUACCGCAUGAGCCCGAGAGGGGGAAAGAUUUUAUCGCCAUUGGAGGGGCCCGCGUUCGAUUAGGUAGUUGGUGAGGUAACGGCUCACCAAGCCUUCGAUCGAUAGCUGGUCUGAGAGGAUGAUCAGCCACACUGGGACUGAGAUACGGCCCAGACUCCUACGGGAGGCAGCAGUGGGGAAUAUUGGACAAUGGGGGGCAACCCUGAUCCAGCAAUGCCGCGUGAGUGAUGAAGGCCUUCGGGUUG